GCUCUCUGCCAUACCACCCUGAACGCGCCCGAUCUCGUCUGAUCUCGGAAGCUAAGCAGGGUCGGGCCUGGUUAGUACUUGGAUGGGAUAUCUAAAUCUGAGUUCAGAAUCCA
rnacentral:rRNA from 1 species